AUGUGUAGCAGUGAAAUGCGUAGAGAUGUGGAAGAACACCUAUGGCGAAGGCAGCUCCCUGGGUUGACACUGACGCUCAUGCACGAAAGCGUGGGGAGCAAACAGGAUUAGAUACCCUGGUAGUCCACGCCCUAAACGAUGUCAACUGGUUGUCGGAUCUAAUUAAGGAUUUGGUAACGUAGCUAACGCGUGAAGUUGACCGCCCGGGGAGUACGGUCGCAAGAUUAAAACUCAAAGGAAUUGACGGGGACCCGCACAAGCGGUGGAUUAUGUGGAUUAAUUCGAUGCAACGCGAAAAACCUUACCUACCCUUGACAUGUCAGAAAGUUUCCAGAGAUGGAAUCGUGCUCGAAAGAGAAUUUGAACACAGGUGCUGCAUGGCUGUCGUCGGCUCGUGUCGUGAGAUGUUGGGUUAAGUCCCGCUACGAGCGCAACCCUUGUCAUUAAUUGCCAUCAUUUAGUUGGGCACUUUAAUGAGACUGCCGGUGAUAAACCGGAGGAAGGUGGGGAUGACGUC
rnacentral:rRNA from 1 species